UCCUGGUUUCCCAGGCAGUCCCGCCAGAGUGCUUUACCUAAAAAGGCAGUGGCAACUGACGGCAAGGGUUGCGCUCGUUAAAGGACUUAACCCAACAUCUCACGACACGAGCUGACGACAGCCAUGCAGCACCUGUGUAAAUGUCUAGACUAAAAGCCUAGAAAGCUUCAUCUCUGAAGCGGUCAUAUACAUGUCAAACCCAGGUAAGGUUCCUCGCGUAGUGUCGAAUUAAACCACAUGUUCCACCGCUUGUGCGGACCCCCGUCAAUUCCUUUGAGUUUUAGUCUUGCGACCGUAAUCCCCAGGCGAAUCACUUAACGCGUUAGCUACGACACUAAUUCAAAAAAAUGAACUAACAUCUAGUGAUUAUCGUUUACAGCGUGGACUAC
rnacentral:misc_RNA from 1 species